rnacentral:rRNA from 1 species
CCUACGGGAGGCAGCAGUGGGGAAUCUUCCGCAAUGGGCGCAAGCCUGACGGAGCAAUGCCGCGUGAAAGAAGAAGGUCUUCGGAUUGUAAAGUUCUGUCCUUAUCGAAGAGAGAGUAUAGAGUGAAAAAUGAUAUACUAGGACGGUAGAUGAGGAGGAAGCCCCGGCUAACUACGUGCCAGCAGCCGCGGUAAUACGUAGGGAGCGAGCGUUGUCCGGAUUUACUGGGUGGAAAGGGAGCGUAGGCGGGACUGCAAGUUGGGUGUCAAAUCUACCGGCUCAACCGGUAGCCGCACUCGAAACUGCAGUUCUUGAGUGAAGUAGAGGCAGGCGGAAUUCCUAGUGUAGCGGUGAAAUGCGUAGAUAUUAGGAGGAACACCAGUGGCGAAGGCGGCCUGCUGGGCUUUUACUGACGCUGAGGCUCGAAAGUGUGGGGAGCAAACAGGAUUAGAUACCCGAGUAGUC